UGCUACAAUGGUCGGUACAACGAGUUGCGAGUCGGUGACGGCGAGCUAAUCUCUUAAAGCCAAUCUCAGUUCGGAUUGUAGGCUGCAACUCGCCUACAUGAAGUCGGAAUCGCUAGUAAUCGCGGAUCAGCACGCCCGUCGGUCCGAAUACGUUCCGGGCCUU
rnacentral:rRNA from 1 species